AGGGGGCGGGCGGAGGCUGGAGCCGGGGCGGGCCGAGCGCGCGGGGCGGGGACGCGGGCGACGCUGGCGCCCGCGGGUCCCGUGACCGUGCGCCCCGCCCGGAGUCGCCGCGGUCAUGCAGUCCCCGGCGGUGCUCGUCACCUCCAGGCGAGUUCAGAAUGUCCACACGGGCCUCGACCUGACCGUGCCCCAGCACCAGGAGGUGCGGGGCAAGAUGAUGUCAGGCCACGUGGAGUACCAGAUCCUGGUGGUUACCCGGCUGGCUGCAUUCAAGUCGGCUAAGCACAGGCCCGAGGAUGUCGUCCAGUUCUUGGUCUCGAAAAAGUACAGUGAGGUCGAGGAGUUCUACCAGAAACUGAGCAGUCGUUACCCCACGUCCAGCCUUCCCCCGCUCCCCAAGAAGGUCCUGUUCGUUGGGGAGUCCGACAUCCGGGAAAGAAGAGCCGUGUUCAAUGAGAUUCUGCGCUGUGUCUCGAAGGACGCCGAGUUGGCAGGAAGCCCAGAGCUGUUAGAAUUCUUAGGCACCAGAUCCCCAGGGUCUGCGGACCUCACCAGCAGAGAUGUCUCUGUCCUGGAUUCACACAGCCAGGCCCAGGAUGACGAGGCUUUCGACUUCUUCGAGCAGCAGGACCGAGCGGAGGCUGAGGGUCUGCCCAUCCCAGGCCAGAAGGGUGAGGAUGCAAGAAACUCCUCCGAGGACGAAGAGGAGGAAGCACUGGACCCUCUGGGCAUCAUGCGCUCUAAGAAGUCCAAGAAACGCCCCGAAGUGGCUGUGAAGCCUAAACCCUCACCCCGACUCACCAUUUUUGAUGAGGAGGUGGACCCUGAUGAGGGGCUCUUCGGCCCAAGCACGAAGCUCUCCCCGCAGCGCCCCGCAGAGGACGUGCCCCUCGAGGACCCCCUGAAGUUGUUUGAAGAUCCUGACCUCGGUGGUGCCGUCCCUCUGGAUGACCCCUUACUGCUGCCUGCCGCCCGUGAGAGUAGAGGGCCCACGUCCCACGCGGAGCUGUUCAGGGAGCAGAGAUUUCUGUCUGUUCAGACCCCAGUUGACUUCGCAAACAUUGGGCCCCUGCUGCAUGCAAGGUCUGGGCUACAAGGGAGUGAGUGAUGAAGGAGAUGGAGUCCCUGCUUCUAGAACCUGGACACCCUCCCCACCCCCGCCAGUGGCCCCGCUGCUCCUAUCAUGGCUCAGCUUCUAGAGGAGUUGUCUGAGCAGGCGGGCAGCUCCCAGGCUGGAUCUCGGCUGCCAACGGAACACGCCUGCUAUCCUGUGGCAUUGCCCACCUGGCCAGCCUGACAGCCUGGCAGUCUGACCACACUGGGAGUGAGCAGAGGCAGCCAGGGGAGAGUGCAGAGCCUGGCCCGUGAGCCCCAUUCCGGGAUCGGACACAGGUGCCCCUUUCACUCCCAGGCCCAGAAGGUAGACUCCAGGAAGACCAUGGAUUCCAGGCUGGCUCAGCUGUCUGUAGGGAACUGGGCAGAAGGAGGCUUCUUUCUUGUUUCUUCUUGGAGAAUUCUUAUCACUGUGGUAAUUCCUAUGAAGUUGCAUUCCCUGAUUUUCCAAGUAAACGUGUGUGUGCAUGUGUGCAUGCGUGUGUGUGUGACGUGCUGGGGCCUGUGCCGCAGAGCCUAGAACAUCAGCAGGCACUGAGUAAACACUUGUCAGAUGAAUGGAAAAAAUGAGGCCGCUAUACAUCUGCCAUCCGCCAGCCAUAAGCAAUCAAUCCAACAGCAUUUGGUGCUGGUUUUGGUAUUUCUGAGCUUAUCAAUUGAACUUCUUUGUUCGUUUAGUUAUUCCACUGGGGACCAAGUCUUCACUGGGCCUUUUAACACAGUGAGAAAGGGUUCAUAUAGGCACACUUGGCCCCAGCACGGUGUCAUGCCAGGAUGGCAGGCUCCCUGGAGCAGAUGGGCCUGACGUUCAUCUGUCGGCAUGAGUGGACUUGGUUAGGCAAGGCUGGAGGGGAGAGCGUAAAUGAUCUUAAUUGUCAGGGAAAGGGGUCUGGGCUUUCUCUGUGGCGGGAGGGGGGGGGCACUCCUGUUUAUACCACAGAUGGCCCAUCCGCAUGCAAAUAACAAUUUCAUACUCUCACCUGGGUCAGGGGUGACCCUAGAGUGGGGUUUCAUGAACAAUGAGAAAGUGUCCAGAUCCAGAGCCACUGGGGUUUUUUGGGUGUUCCAACAUAGAGGCAGUGAUUGGAUUGGAUUUAGAAUACAAUUCUUCUGAGCAACUUACGAAAAGUAUUGACUCCAGUGCAUAAUUUUUUAAGUAAUUGGAGCACUUUGAGUUCAUUGGGUUAGGAGCUUAACCUGUAAUGUGAGCUGUUAAAUUACACUCACAAAGGGUGAGGCCUCAGUAAUGAUCCCUCUGGUCCAAGGAUGUCUGCUGACUUACCCAAAAAAAAAAACCAUACAAUGCAUUUCUUUGUAGGGUGGGGGUUUUUUCUGCUUCUAACAGCACAAGUGUGUGAAGAUCUAGCAAGUUGGAAAGAGAUUGACUGUUAAAGGAGUUCAAGCUCUGAUUAUUUGCUAUUGCGUGGUUCAGAGAAAACUAUCAUUGGCUGAGGAGCUCGGACUUUGGGGCAGUGCAGGAUGUUUCAAAUGCCAGCCCAGUGGUAAAAUAGAAGUGCCUUAGUCACCAGCUCUGAGAUGGGGGGGCCUGAGUGUGGGGGCCUUAAACCAACGCACUUUGUGACUUUGAAGCCCAGAUCACUUUGUUCAUUUCAAUUUGUUCAACAAAUAUUUACCAAGUGCUUUCUUUCAAGGCCUUUGGAAGGGGUAGUCUUAAAAAUAUUGAACAAGCAGGAUGGUACGGACCACAAGCACUCAGAAUGAGGAACUGACCGAUGAGAAUGGACACUGCCUAUAAACAACCAACACAUUCUGAUUUCCGCAGGCGAGGCCUCAGCCCUGGAGCUGGGAAGACAGGGAGCACAACAUUCUAGUGGCCUUGAUAGGAGGGGUCAGUGGGGCUCCCCAGAUGAGAUGCUUCUAAGCUGAGUCUUGCAGGACAAGAGGAAGCAAGGAAGGAGGCAGACAUUUCAGGCACAAGUAGGGUGCAGGGUGGGCACCACACAGACAAAAAGUCAAAGCAAGAGAGAUCCUGGGGUUUCAGGAACCUUCCAGUAGCUGAUUGAGGCUAUGGGAAGUAAGGAUGCUGGGAGGGACCAGACCAGGAGGACCUUGCAUGAUUUAAUAAUACUUUAGGAUUUAAUUCCUCAAGUUGAUUUGGAACAGUUGAAGGAUUUCUGAUCAGGGAGAAAUAGGACCAAAGUGUUUUUAGAAAGAUCAAUGCCUAUAUUCUAAUUAACAGGUGAGCAUAAGGGGACAGAGGGGUAACCAGAAACUCUCCAAGUGAGAGAAGAUGAGCUAGGGUUUAGAAAAGAGUUGCUCUUGGAAUGCCUAUGUGGCUCAGUUGGUUAAGCCUCUGCUUUCAGCUCAGGUCAUGAUCCCAGGGUCCUGGGAUCGAGCCCCGCAUCGGGCUCCCUGCUCGGCGGGAAGCCUGC